rnacentral:pre_miRNA from 1 species
AGCUUUUCGAAUCCGUGCUGAGAUUUCGUCAUUAACCAACCCAUUAGAGCUGACCAGGCUUCCAAGAUAAGUGAAGUU